rnacentral:rRNA from 1 species
AUUGAACGCUGGCGGCAGGCCUAACACAUGCAAGUCGAACGGUAGCACAGAGAGCUUGCUCUCGGGUGACGAGUGGCGGACGGGUGAGUAACGUCUGGGAAACUGCCCGAUGGAGGGGGAUAACUACUGGAAACGGUAGCUAAUACCGCAUAACGUCGCAAGACCAAAGUGGGGGACCUUCGGGCCUCACACCAUCGGAUGUGCCCAGAUGGGAUUAGCUAGUAGGUGGGGUAAUGGCUCACCUAGGCGACGAUCCCUAGCUGGUCUGAGAGGAUGACCAGCCACACUGGAACUGAGACACGGUCCAGACUCCUACGGGAGGCAGCAGUGGGGAAUAUUGCACAAUGGGCGCAAGCCUGAUGCAGCCAUGCCGCGUGUAUGAAGAAGGCCUUCGGGUUGUAAAGUACUUUCAGCGGGGAGGAAGGCGGUGAAGUUAAUAGCUUCACCGAUUGACGUUACCCGCAGAAGAAGCACCGGCUAACUCCGUGCCAGCCGCCGCCGUAAGAC